CUGGCGACACCCAAAGUGAAGGGCGGCAUGGGGUUCCGUGACAUGCAUGUGUUCAACCUCGCAAUGCUCGGGAAAAAUGGCUGGCGUCUUCUCACAAAACUGGAGUCUUUAUGCGCGCGAGUGCUGAAGGGCAAAUAUUAUCCACAUACUGACUUUCUCAAUGCGAGUGCUCCUUCUCGAGCCUCGGCUACGUGGAAGGCUAUUAUUGCGGGAAGAAAGGCUCUAGAUGUUGGGCUAAUCAAAAGAGUUGGAGACGAUUCUACUAUCUGCACUUGGAUAGAUCCCUGGAUCCUUGGCAAUCUUUCUCUAAAACCGAUGAGUCGCAUUGGCUCUUCCCCACUGGCCACGGUCUCAGAGUUGAUAGAUGACUAUACAGGCAACUGGAAUGUGGAAAUCAUUCAAGCAAAUUUCUUGCCACAGGAUGUUGAAGCUAUCCUCAAUAUACCCCUAAAUAGCGACGGUGGCGAAGAUUUUCUGGCAUGGGCCUUAGAGAAAUCCGUUAACUACUCUGUAAAAUCCGUGUAUCGCUCUCUUGUGACUCAGAACGAGCACCACGCUCUAGAGGAAGGGACGAUUACAGAAGCUUCAUCAACUAACAAACAAAUGUGGAAUGCCCUAUGA
rnacentral:rRNA from 1 species